AUCAAGCAGCUGUUUCUGUAGUGUAGUGGUUAUCACGUUCGCUUCACACGCCCCUUUUUGGAGUUUCAGGAAGUGGAAGAGAAGCAGGCGUCUGAGUGCUUGAGAGAGAAUAUCGUUUUUUUUGGAGGUCUAGUUGACUUAUAAGUUUGAAAGUUUGUGAGUGACUGUAGUGAAGUUUCUGUGAAACGUUUUUGCUAUUGUCCCCCAUCAGCGUGAGCUGUUUGGGGGAUAUUGCUUAAAAUAACCGGACGGACAACAUGGCUUCGACAUCAAGAAUACAAACGACGACGAGAAAGGACAACAGUGAAAUCAGAAUGUUAAACGAAGAACUGAAAAAAAGAACAUAUGAGAAGGAACUGACGGUGAACGUGGAAAUAAGUGGAGAAGGGAAAAUAACAACGAUGGAAUUGCUGAGAGGAAUAAAGGAAGUUAACAGACACUAAUACCUGCUCAAAUUUGCUCAUGUUUC
rnacentral:lncRNA from 1 species